rnacentral:rRNA from 4 species
UCGACCUGAGGUCAGGCAAGAACACCCGCUGAA